rnacentral:rRNA from 2 species
UAAGCAUGAAGCCCCCCUCAAGAUGAGAUUUCCCAUAGCGUCAAGCUAGUAAGAUCCCUGAAAGAUGAUCAGGUUGAUAGGUCAGAGGUGGAAGCAUGGUGACAUGUGGAGCUGACUGAUACUAAUCGAUCGAGGACUUAACCAA